GACGAACGCUGGCGGCGUGCCUAAUACAUGCAAGUAGAACGCUGAAGGAGGAGCUUGCUUCUCUGGAUGAGUUGCGAACGGGUGAGUAACGCGUAGGUAACCUGCCUGGUAGUGGGGGAUAACUAUUGGAAACGAUAGCUAAUACCGCAUAAUAGCAGUUGUUGCAUGAUAACUGUUUGAAAGGUGCAAUUGCACCGCUACCAGAUGGACCUGCGUUGUAUUAGCUAGUUGGUGGGGUAACGGCUCACCAAGGCGACGAUACAUAGCCGACCUGAGAGGGUGAUCGGCCACACUGGGACUGAGACACGGCCCAGACUCCUACGGGAGGCAGCAGUAGGGAAUCUUCGGCAAUAGACGGAAGUCUGACCGAGCAACGCCGCGUGAGUGAAGAAGGUUUUCGGAUCGUAAAGCUCUGUUGUAAGAGAAGAGCGAGUGUGAGAGUGGAAAGUUCACACUGUGACGGUAUCUUACCAGAAAGGGACGGCUAACUACGUG
rnacentral:rRNA from 1 species